CGGCAGCUCCGACAACUGACAGUUGGAUAUAGGCAUUGCUAGAAUGAAAAGAAGGAGACAGAGCGAGAGAGAGAGAGAGAGAGAGAGAGGCCCGAGAGCGCGCACCCUACGCUGUGGUUUAUGUUUACAUUCCGAUAACGCUGCUCAUGCGUUUGAAGUUGAAGUUUUCUUCACAUCAAUAUGGGCAUGGCUGUAAGCAGUGCGUUUCCAUCUCCGGCUACGAGUACGAAGAGUGUUUGGCCGUGGCAGCUUAAAAUUAACAUUCCCACACGCAGUCUAAGUACAUCCAACCGAACGGGGUAUAAGUCUUCCCGCGUGUCUGGUUGACUACUGAUCAGAUACGAAGCGCCACACUAAACGACUCAUAAACGCAGUCAACACUAGUGGUGUUCUUUCAGAAGCGCACCCACCACUUCCAUCUAAGUCCGUCUAUUGUUAGUACGAUUCCGACUCCGGCAAAAUGCAUACAACUAGUUCCGUCAGUUCCGACUUCGGACGACUCCGAACCCAACCGAUUCCGGUCGACUCCGGAAGACUCCGGCCGACUCUGGACGACUCCGAGCAGCUCCGGACAACUCUGAACAACUCCGGACAACUCCGAACAACUCCGGAUGAUUCCGAACGACUCCAGAUAAUGAUGAACGAACCUUCCGGAGCCGGUUUCAAAAUUACAGGAGUGAGAUCGGAGUCGUCUCCGGAUUUUAAUCACUCCAAUUCUCAGUCUAAAGGGAAUCAUAAGAACCACCAGAGAGCUGAGAGACCUUAGUUUAAUCUGACAGUAAACGACUGGAAAUUUGUUCAGAUAACAUAAAAACAUUUAGCGCUCUAUCUUUUGCUGGAUAGCCAACCAGUAGAGCUUUGGUGUUAUAUGUCGCUAUAACUAGAACAGCAAGUACGAUUAUUUGAAAACUAAAUUUUAAUGCUUAAAAAGAAAGAAAUGAUAACGGAAAAAUUACGCUUUUAAAUGUCAACAACAAAAACCUUCGCGCUGUAGAACUACUGUGGACGACUGAAAAAAUAAGCGUUACGAGGCGUUAUAUUUCAUCUACCAAAUAUUUCGUUGCAGCGGAUUUUUGUUUUCAGUACGUCUGAUCUCGGUCUAAAAGACUUUUGUAAUAAAUGGUUUUGACUAAUUUUAUCAAAAUU